UAGUGGCGGACGGGUGAGUAACGCGUGGGAAUCUGCCCUCAGGAGGGGGAUAACGGUUGGAAACGACCGCUAAUACCCCAUAUGCCGAGAGGUGAAACGAAAUUCGCCUGAGGAUGAGCCCGCGUCUGAUUAGCUAGUUGGUGGGGUAAAGGCCUACCAAGGCAUCGAUCAGUAGCUGGUCUGAGAGGAUGAUCAGCCACACUGGGACUGAGACACGGCCCAGACUCCUACGGGAGGCAGCAGUGGGGAAUUUUCCGCAAUGGGCGCAAGCCUGACGGAGCAACGCCGCGUGAGGGACGAAGGCCUCUGGGCUGUAAACCUCUUUUCUCAAGGAAGAAGAACUGACGGUACUUGAGGAAUAAGCCACGGCUAA
rnacentral:rRNA from 1 species